rnacentral:rRNA from 1 species
GAUGAACGCUGGCGGCGUGCCUAAUACAUGCAAGUCGAGCGAACAGACGAGGAGCUUGCUCCUCUGACGUUAGCGGCGGACGGGUGAGUAACACGUGGAUAACCUACCUAUAAGACUGGUAUAACUUCGGGAAACCGGAGCUAAUACCGGAUAAUAUAUUGAACCGCAUGGUUCAAUAGUGAAAGUCGGUUUUGCUGUCACUUCUAGCUGGAUCCGCGCCGCAUUAGCUAGUUGGUAAGGUAACGGCUUACCAAGGCAACGAUGCGUAGCCGACCGGAGAGGGUGGUCGGCGACACGGGAAGUGAGACGCGCUCCAGACUCCUACGGGAGGCAGCAGUAGGGAAUCUUCCGCAAUGGGCGAAAGCCUGACGGAGCAACGCCGCGUGAGUGAUGAAGGUCUUCGGAUCGUAAAACUCUGUUACUAGGGAAGAACAAAUGUGUAAGUAAAUAUGCACGUCUUGACGGUACCUGGUCAAAAAGCCACGGCUAACUACGUG